ensembl:misc_RNA Metazoa_SRP Metazoan signal recognition particle RNA
GCUCGUCCCUGUAAUCCAAGUCACUGGGAGGCUGAAGUUGGCGAAUCGAGUUAGUUGAUGAGCUCUGGGCUGUAGUACGCUAUGCAGAACGGCUGUCCGCACCAAGUUUGCUCGUGAUAUGGUGCUCCUGCCCGAGACCACCAGGUCGUCUAAAGAGGGGUACACCGGCCCAGGUCGGAAACAAACCAGGUCAAAACCCCGGUUCCGUCUAGUAGUGAGUAGACACGAUAGUGCAGCCUUGGCAAGACAUCGAAACCCAGUCUACU